AAAAAACCUGGAAACUUGUUGGAUUGCUCUGAUGCAGCUCCAUGGUUCUUCAAAGGAAAGGAGGUGGCUGGUGCUGCUUUAUGAAUCCUCCAGUCUUGGUAAUGAGCUAAUCUGCUUGAUGUCAGCAGCUAUCAGGGCCUCAUUCUACACUGAAAAGGAAACCAAGUUGU